CAGGCCUAACACAUGCAAGUCGAACGGAAAGGCCCUGCUUUUGUGGGGUGCUCGAGUGGCGAACGGGUGAGUAACACGUGAGUAACCUGCCCUUGACUUUGGGAUAACUUCAGGAAACUGGGGCUAAUACCGGAUAGGAGCUCCUGCUGCAUGGUGGGGGUUGGAAAGUUUCGGCGGUUGGGGAUGGACUCGCGGCUUAUCAGCUUGUUGGUGGGGUAGUGGCUUACUAAAGCUUUGACGGGUAGCCGGCCUGAGAGGGUGACCGGCCACAUUGGGACUGAGAUACGGCCCAGACUCCUACGGGAGGCAGCAGUGGGGAAUAUUGCACAAUGGGCGGAAGCCUGAUGCAGCAACGCCGCGUGCGGGAUGACGGCCUUCGGGUUGUAAACCGCUUUCGCCUGUGACGAAGCGUGAGUGACGGUAAUGGGUAAAGAAGCACCGGCUAACUACGUGCCAGCAGCCGCGGUGAUACGUAGGGUGCGAGCGUUGUCCGGAUUUAUUGGGCGUAAAGGGCUCGUAGGUGGUUGAUCGCGUCGGAAGUGUAAUCUUGGGGCUUAACCCUGAGCGUGCUUUCGAUACGGGUUGACUUGAGGAAGGUAGGGGAGAAUGGAAUUCCUGGUGGAGCGGUGGAAUGCGCAGAUAUCAGGAG
rnacentral:rRNA from 1 species